UGUUGUUUAUAGGGUGAAAGUCUCAACUGUUGAGGAUCUAAAACGGCAAGUAGUGAAGACAGAAUUGGCUUCAUUAACUAUUCCAGAACUACAGUUUGAAAUACCUGCUCGUAGCCAAGAGGGAGUUGUGACAACAGUUGAAGGGCUCCUAAGCCGAGCAAUCAUGGGUCUCACUUCCCAAAAAGAGCACCUUCAGGAAGAAGACCCAGUGGCAUCCCAGAAGAUAUCAGAAUUUCUGAUUAAACUGUGUGAACUAACAGAAGUGAAAACAACUUAUCAUUUGGUAAAUCUUCAUGUUCACCAAGAUAGUAAUAU